rnacentral:rRNA from 1 species
CCUACGGGUGGCAGCAGUGGGGAAUAUUGCACAAUGGGGGAAACCCUGAUGCAGCGACGCCGCGUGAGUGAAGAAGUAUUUCGGUAUGUAAAGCUCUAUCAGCAGGGAAGAAAUAGCGACCUUUGGGUCGCCAGACGGUACCUGAUUAAGAAGCCCCGGCUAACUCGGUGCCAGCAGCCGCGGUAAUACGGAGGGGGCAAGCGUUAUCCGGAGUUACUGGGUGUAAAGGGGGCGUAGACGGCAGCGCAAGUCUGAAGUGAAAUGCCGGGGCUGAACCCCGGAACUGUGUUGGAAACUGUGCAGCUAGAGUGCAGGGGAGGUAUGUGGAAUUCCGGGUGUAGCGGUGAAAUGCGUAGAUAUUAGGAGGAACACCAGUGGCGAAGGCGGCUUACUGGACUGUAACUGACGUUGAGGCUCGAAGGCGUGGGGAGCAAACAGGAUUAGAUACCCUAGUAGUC